rnacentral:tRNA from 1 species
CAGAAAAUAGUUUAUAUAAAAUAUUAAUUUUGGAGAUUAAAGAAGUAACUUUUUCUUUUCUGA